GAGAAAUUGUCAAGUUUACUAUGCAGGCUAGGGUCGAGGGAUCAUCCCCACCCUCUCCCAACCUUCCAGCACUUGCUUGUCACUCCUUCAAAUGUUGUCGCCUCUUCCUGUGUUUGGCAGCUAGCGCCCCCUCUGUCCAUUCUGACUCAGUGCAGCUUGGCAGCGAGUGUCCCUGUGUAUGUGUGUGUGUGUGUGUCUCUCUUUCGCCCAUCUACGCCCCCGGCAAACCUCUUCUACCUGCCUGCCAGCAUCUCUUGCUGGUGACUCUCCGGGAGAAACGGUUCCUUAGUAAGCUCACCAAAAAAAAUUACGAAAAAAAAAACAGACAUUGUUUAUGCAAAGAGACUGAAUCUGUACAUCACAGUCCAUCACUAUUGCCCUUGAAGCAUGCAGGCAACGCCCUCAUUCACUGCAAUGGAAACAUUUGUAUCUCAAUCCAAUCAAUGCAGCACAGAAACAUACAAGUCUUUUCUAGAAAUUUCUUUGAAAAUGCAUGUAUUUUUGGUAAAAUAAUGUUAUGUCUGUUUUUUCUUUUCUUAAGUGACAGUUCUCCUGCCUUGUGGGCUUAGUGUGCCAGCUGUGUGUGGGUGUCUCAAACUGCUCAGCUUGAUUACUGUGCUUGCUGAGUUGUGAAUCAACGGUUCAGUUCGAGGGAGUGGGGCGGGGGAUGGACAGAGGUGCUGGAGGUAAAACUUCUGGAGGAGAGAAUCUGGCUGGAGGAUAGGAUGGAAGAGGUGCGAUGCCUCCUGUCCAGAGAGGUGGAUGCAAAGCUGAAUACUUUUAAACAGCAGUGGAGUGUGACGGAGGAGAGGAGAAAAAGGAGGGACUUUAGAGCCUCAGAUGAGGACCUUAGAGAAGGGAAAGGAGAGUAUGUGGAUAGUCAAGGAAGUAGUGACGUUGAGGAGAAGGAGACACAGGGGGAGAGUGCAAGGGAAAGGGCAGAGGCAAAGGCAGAAAUUGACAGCAUGAUGGACAAGAUCGCGAUGGAGAGACAGGAAGUUGAACUCCAAAAAAAGAGGUUGGAGGAACAGGUGGAUGAAAUGAAGAGAGAGGAGGAGCGAAGACAGCAGGAGCUGAAGGAGGAGUGGGAAAAGAUGGAGGGAGAGAAAAAGAAGGUGGCAGAGGUGAGGAGGGAGAUGGAGCAGAGGGAGCUGGAGAAUCGAAAUGAGAGAUUGGAAGAGGAGCUCAGGAAGGAGAGAGAGAGUGAGAGCAGGAAGAAGGAGUUGGAGGACGAGUGGGGAAGGAUUCAGGCAGAGUGGAAGAAGAUAGAGGCGGAGAGGAAGGAGCUGGAGAUUCAGAGGGAAAGGCUCGAGGAGAAGGACAGGAAGCUGAAGGAGAAAGUGCUCAUGAAGCGCCAGAGUGCAGAACUGAGACAGAAGGAGCUGCAGGAAGAGAGGAGGACUCUAGAGGCCGAAAAAAGGGCAAUGGACGAGCAGCAAGAGAUGCACCGACUUGAGGGAGCCAAGAGAAAGCGAGAACUGGAAGACGAGUGGGAAAAAAUCAAUGCGGAGAAGAAAAGCUUGGAGGAAAGGAUCGAGAUGGUACAGAGACAGGUGGAGGUCCAGAAGGAGCAGCUCCACGAUAAGGAGCGCAGGAUGAAAGAGAGGGAGGCUCAGAGAAAAGAGAAGGAGAUGAACAGAAAAAAAGAGGUGGUGGAGGAAUGGAGACGGAUCGAGGAAGAGCAAGGCAAAAUGGAGGCCCAGAAAAAGAGAGGUCUGGAGGAGGAGUGGAAGAAGGUCGAGGAAGAGAGACAGCGCAUGCAGCAGAAGCGGGACACGGAUGAACAGGAAGUGAAGCAACAGAAGGAAAGGAUCCAGGAGAAGGAGAGGAAGCUGUCAGAGAAGCUGACGCUGCGGAGAGAGAGGGAGGCACUGAGAAAACAGGAGAUGGAGGAAGAAUGGGCAAGGGUGGAGAACGAGAGGAAGAUCAUUGAGCUCCAGAAACAGGAGGUGCAGUUCCAGGAGGAGAAGCUGAUGAAGACCAAAAAGAAGAGGGAGAACUAUGAGCUCAAAGCGGAGGAGCAAGCCGCCCAGAGGAGGAGGCUGGACCAGGAGGAGAGGAGGCUGGACAGGGACAGACUGAGAGUGGAGACAGAGCAGAGGGAGCUGGAGAUGCAGAGAGAGAGACUGCUGGCCAAGGAGAGGAGGAUGAAGGAGAGGGCAACCGUGAGGAAAGAGGAGGACUCUGCGCGUCUGAGAGAGCUCGAGGACGAGUGGAGAGAUCUGGAGAGGGAGAAGAAGCGAGGGGUUCAGAAAAGGGAGCCGCUUCGUCCCAUGGAUUAUGAUAUAUUUUCGUCCGUGGACUCAGACGAAACUGACUUUGGAGAUCUGGACAUCUAUCUGAACACUAACACCCAGUGUCACAUCUUACCCAAGCAACAGCAAAGCGCCACCCAGUGGAGCUCAAGGGAAGCACAAGGGGAUGCAGAACAUUCCUCUCCGUGGGAUACUGAUGAAAACGACUCUCAGCCGGUCACUCAGAAAAAUAAAACCAAACGUAUAUCCCCUCCAAAACAAUCACCAGCUGAGACACUAGAGCCAAACACCAACCACGCGAUGAAGCCAGCUGAGAUACUAGGGCCAAGCACCAAUCACGGGAUGAAGCCAGUGAAAGAGAAAGGCAGUGAGAAAAGGACGAAAACUGAUAAAAAGAAAAAGAUUGAAAAGGAGCUGACUGUUGACAACGUGAUCAAUAAGGAACUUGAGUUGUUCAAACAAGAACUGGAAGCAAAAGUGCAAAAUCAAAAACGUACAGCGAAGGCAGUGACAGAGACGCUGAAGCCAGCUAAGACACUAGGGCCAAGCACCAACCACGGGAUGAAGCCAGUGAAAGAGAAAAGCAGUGAGAAAAGGACGAAAACUGAGAAAAAGAAAAAGCCUGACAAGGAGCUGACUGUUGACAACCUGAUCAACGAGGAGCUUGAGUUGUUCAAACAAGAGUUGGAAGCAAAAGUACAAAAUCAAAAACGUGCAGCGAAGGCAGUGACAGAGACACUGAAGAAGGAGGAUGACAUCGAUGCUUUGAUCAUGGAAGAGAUGCAACUCAUGGAACAAGACAAAACAACAAAGACAAAGAACAGAAGCUAAAAGGCAGACUAUGUUGCCCAUGUUAAAAUUACACUUUGUAAGGAUGAAUGUGAUAUUGAAGGCAUUUAAUGGAUUUAAGAGAAAAAAAAACUGCAAUACUUGCUGAUGCUAACCAGUCCCAACUGUGCCCUUCUAUGUGAUCUGCGGUUUCAGCAAUCCUCUCAAGUUAUGGCCUCAACUGUUUCUAAAUCAUAAUUUAAAAAUAAUCUUAAACCCAACGACAACAACAGAAUCAGAAUUACAGUACACUUCUGGAAUCCCAAAUGUAUUGUCAGUCCUCUCUCUCAGCCUCUCUCCUUCAGUCUGAUCAUUUCAUCCCAGUCCCUCUCUCGCACCUGUCCCACUCCAAAGGCCCACAGCCAGGGCCAUUACCCCAGCCAACCCUCUCUCUCCCCUCACGCUACCCGUGCCUGAUGCCCGCAGUGCCUCAUCCUCACGCUACCCGCGCCAUGCCUG
ensembl:lncRNA